CCUACGGGUGGCUGCAGUGGGGAAUAUUGGACAAUGGGCGAAAGCCUGAUCCAGCCAUGCCGCGUGUGUGAAGAAGGCCUUCGGGUUGUAAAGCACUUUCAGUGGGGAAGAAAGCCUUGUGGCUAAUACGCGCGGGGAUGGACGUUACCCACAGAAGAAGCACCGGCUAACUCCGUGCCAGCAGCCGCGGUAAUACGGAGGGUGCGAGCGUUAAUCGGAAUUACUGGGCGUAAAGCGCGCGUAGGCGGUUUGAUAAGCCGGUUGUGAAAGCCCCGGGCUCAACCUGGGAACGGCAUCCGGAACUGUCAGGCUAGAGUGCAGGAGAGGAAGGUAGAAUUCCCGGUGUAGCGGUGAAAUGCGUAGAGAUCGGGAGGAAUACCAGUGGCGAAGGCGGCCUUCUGGACUGACACUGACGCUGAGGUGCGAAAGCGUGGGUAGCAAACAGGAUUAGAUACCCCUGUAGUC
rnacentral:rRNA from 1 species